UGACACGUAGGCACCAAGCGUUGUCCGGAUUUAUUGGGCGUAAAGAGCUCGUAGGCGGUUCAGUAAGUCGGGUGUGAAAACUCUGGGCUCAACCCAGAGACGCCACCCGAUACUGCUGUGACUUGAGUACGGUAGGGGAGUGGGGAAUUCCUGGUGUAGCGGUGAAAUGCGCAGAUAUCAGGAGGAA
rnacentral:rRNA from 1 species